UCGGAUAUUCCGGAGACAUCAUGGAUGGGUUCCAGCCAGUUUCCUCCAUCUUCUUCGGGCAGCUGAAGCAGGUCCAUUGGUUCUGCUCCAGUGUUCUUUCUCGCCUUCUUUUCUAUCUUUACACACAGUAGACUCUGUUUCCUUCUUCCUCUUCUUCUUCUUCUUUUCGGUGGCUGAUAGCAAAUAAUCAAUGUAUUUUUCUUAUUUGAAUGGAUUUUCUAAACUUAUUCCAAUAACACUAAAAUUGCAUGACAAAAUUACCCAAAAAAGAAAGAAAAUAUUGCAGAUUAUUCUUUAUGAUAAGAAAGAAGAAAUCAAUUUUCCUCUACAGAAGGAAAGUAUGAUGCAGAAUAAUAUUUCUAUGCUACCAUACAAUUGUACAGAAGCUAUUAUUGUUUUAUGAGGGAUUUAUUUCUUCAUCCAAAAAAUACUCACAAGACGAACAGUUCCAACGAAAUCAAAUGACAAUUACACAUGUUGAUUUAGCUUUGUUUAGGUUAUCAUUAUUGGAUUCCUUUGGUAUCGAAUCCAUUCGACACGAUUGAAUCGGAUUAAGCAGCCAUUCGGGUAUAAAUAUUUGUUGGAUUCGGAGCAGUCUUAUAGAAACCUACCCGAUCUAACCGACCGACCUUUCCAAUCACGCGCAUCGAGCGAGCAUGACGGCGGCGAGGAGGCCGGCCUCCAAGAACUCCGGGGCCAGACAAGGAGAACGGCCGCCCGCGCGACACCGUAGCUGCAGGAGCGUUUCAAGAGUGGGGAUCAUCGGUCGCCAGAGGAACCACGGAGAUUGGGAGAUGGGCAGGAGGAAGAGGGAGUGAGGGAGAGGGCCGCGCGAAGCAUUAGCGGAUCGAGAAGACAUGAUGGGGACGUUUACUGGGGACUGGAGAGAGCGAGGAGCAGAAAGAGGGCAAGGGAACGAGAGCUCGAGAGGAGGAUAAGGGAAAGAGAAUUAGGUCUCAUCUCCUUCUUUCUUCCCUCUUUUUGGUUCUGUGGGAACCGACUCAAAAUUGAGUCAGACUUGGGCUCAAUUAACCGGACCGGUUCUUCACUGAACCGGACCGAGUCACGUG
rnacentral:lncRNA from 1 species